UUCUGCUUUGGUACGUUCUCUGCUUUGGUACGUUCUCUGCUUUUCAUCUCUCAUCUUCUUCACUCGCCUCUCGAUCCCUGAUCUUCAAAUCUGGGUUUUCAAUUUUCGGAUUCAAUUGUUUCUUCGACUGGUUCAGAACCUCUCGGUUUCUUCUUAGUCUCUAAUCUGAUCUGAUUUCCGGAGAGAUCAGUUUCUCCAUAAUUUUGAUCUCAAUUUCAUGGUGUUCAACUUCUUUUGUGUGAUCCUUCAUCCAGUCGAGACCCUAAACUUGUUUUGAUCUAAUUCUCUAAGCCCUUGCUUAUCAACUCUGAUCUUGUCUUUUCGCAAUGGUGGUCUGCAAUACGGAAAGGAAUGCAGGAUUUUGACUUGAAUCCUUCAAGAUGUCUUGUAGGAGCGGACGUCUUUGAGAAAUGCAAAAGUAGCCAUUGUGAAGAGAAAUAAGAAAAUAAAAGAGAUCCGAUUGGGAUAUUUCCGGGUCAGCCGAAUGCCAUAAAAACCGACCCACCAGUGGCAGAAGUUGUAAAUACUUCCCAACCCCAGGAUUUAUUUGCUAAAAGUCAUCCAAAAAUGUAUAUAUAGAUUUCAAAAGAAAUUUGGAUACCUUGAAGAGGAAGGGAGACGAUGAAUCCUGCGGUAGGGAAACGAUAAGGCUACCGAGAAAUUUUUAUCGUGCAGGGUUCAGUAUAUAAGCAACGAGUGGAUAAAUCGGAAGGUUUCGAUAUGGGGGAGGUUCGACAAGUCUAUGCACUUUUGAUGGACCGUUCCGGGCAAACCAAAUGUGAUGAUAGGUUUCCUUGUUGUGGUUUAGUCACAUUUUAUGCUAGGAUGGGACUUCAUCGUUGAAAUUUGUUGCGCGGGACAAAUUUAAAGUUGAUACAUACGCCUUAAGGAAUACGAUAUGUCAAUGGGUUCGGCUGCUGCCUCUUACUAUCCA